rnacentral:lncRNA from 1 species
GGGCCCUCUCAGGUCACCCCAUCCACCGCUGGGCCAAGCCCCAGUGCCCGAAGCAGCAGCAACGAACGCAGCUGGGUUCCGCCUGUUCCCGCCUCGGCAUCCGGAACCCACUCGGGACACACUCUGCGUCUGGCCGUUUGUCUGCUGUGAUAUCGAGAUCCGUCCAAGUGGCACUUAUCAGCCCCGGGUUUAUUUUUGGCUGUCGAGAGCUGUUCCUUCUCUGAACCCAGGCAACUCGCUCUACAGUCUCUGCCAAUGGACAUUUGGGUCAUUUCUCAUUGGGGGACAUCGUGAUCGUGACUGGUAAAGACACGUGAGCACGUCUGCUUCGGGGGUGAUGGCCGGCGAGUGCUCUGUGCAGCGUGACCCUUCCACACCUGGUGAACAGGGGAGGACGGCGCGCGGCUGAACUCUGGCCUUCAGGGUGGGCACUGGGCCAGCCUGCCUCUCCCCUCCCCGUCUCCCUCCCCUCUCUCCUCUACUCCUCGUCUCCUCCUCUCUCUGGCGGCUCCUGCAAGGAUGCCCACAUCAGCCCUGGGUGGAGGGAAGGCCCAGGACAGCACAUGUCAACUGGGGGGUGACCUGAGGAAAACGGUGGGACCUGGGGAGUCUGCCGUGGCCACCGGGGACUUUGGCAGGAAGCGCUUUUCCCUGGCUGCAGUCUCCUGCGUGUCCUUUCUCAGAGCCUCUCCUCCCAGACCACAAGGCCACGCCACAGGGCCCCUGCCCGUCCCGUUCCCCUCUACCCCGGUCCUCCUAGAUGCCUGCUAAGUGAAAGAAUAAGUGACAGAAACCAGGCAUCACAGACUGCGGCGCGGGGGACUAUCUGGUGAGUGACGUGAGCUGGUGGGAGAAAAAUCGCACCAUCUUGACGAACCUGCUUGGCGCUCUUGACAGUGUUGGAAGGGCAGAAAAGCACUAUUUUUCCAGGGGAAAAAUGCCCAAACAUGACAAUGAUUUACAGUUGACACUGGGCUUCAGUGUCAUGGGUG